AACGCACCUUGCGCCCCUCGGUAUUCCGAGGGGCAUGCCUGUUUGAGUGUCGCAUUACUCUCAACCCUUGACCGUUCAUCGGCUUGGGCUUGGACCGUGGCCGAACCGGCUGGCGUCAUCGACGUCUGGCCCGGCCGAAAUGGAUGCGGAGCGAAUGCGUGACCGCGACGACCGAGCGUUGUAGAACCUCGCGAGGUCUAGCUGGCGCUGCUCCCCAGUCUUAUUCUUCGACCUCAAAUCAGGUAGGACUACCCGCUGAACUUAA
rnacentral:misc_RNA from 1 species